rnacentral:rRNA from 1 species
UACAGAGGGGGCAAGCGUUGUUCGGAAUUACUGGGCGUAAAGGGCGCGUAGGCGGCCGCCUAAGUCAGACGUGAAAUCCCUCGGCUCAACCGGGGAACUGCGUCUGAUACUGGGUGGCUUGAAUCUGGGAGAGGGAUGCGGAAUUCCAGGUGUAGCGGUGAAAUGCGUAGAUAUCAGGAGGAACACCAGCGGCGAAGGCGGCGCUCUGGGCUGGAACUGACGCUGAGGAGCGAAAGCGUGGGGAGCGAACAGG